AACACGCUUAAAAUUAUUAUUUUAAUAGUUUAAUGUCAAAUUCCAAUCACUGACUCAGAAGGCUUUGAGGAUGCAGUUUAAAACAUGUUCACCCUCAAGAAAAAGUGUCUAAUAAACUUGUGAAUAGGUGAUCCUCAGCUCCCUCCUGUGGUCAAUAGGUGUAUCCGCAUUAAUGAAAUAAACACGCACAGUGUGGACGCACAGUCAGUCGAGUGAACACUGAAGACAGAUUAAGGGGAUUUCUAUGAUAUUCCAGGAUAUUUUACAACAGAUUUGACUUUGUGAUUGUCUCGGCCAGCAGAAGAUCGAGAUCAGCUUUAACCUGAUGGAGUAAAACAGGUGAACUGGAAAGCUCAUGUAAACACUGGCAGCUAUGAAUGGACAAUCCUCCGAGACUCUGGAUCUCGACUCAAGAGUUUUUACUGAACGCCUCUUCCUCUGCUUCAGUAAUGAAGAUGUAAAGCUCUGAGUCUCUGGAUGGUUCAGGAUGGAUGAGUCUCUGGCUUCUACAGACCUGUGAUGACCAUUCAUUUCCAGCACAGGUUAAACCACAGCCAAACUUCAUGAGGACUGAUCAUUCAUCGUGCAUUUAAGGAUCUGUCGGUUUUGGUGUUGUCGUGGCAACAGGCGACCGUCAUGAAGCUGAGACGCAUACGCCGCCUAGUGGACCUGAUGGAGAACUGCGUUUGCUGGCAAUACUCCAUUACUUUGUGCUCUGGGCAAAAUCAUUUGACGAGACAUAAGUGUGAGAAUUGGAGAUUCAUAUUCAUAAAUUGGCAUCUAAUCAAACUAAUCUCUGAUUUAUUUAUUCAGGGGUAGAAUCAUGUUGAGUGAACGCAUCAAAACUGGACAAAAUAUCUUCUAGUACUCUUUUAAUGUGUCUUCGUGUCAAGUUUGUUUCACUUUUGUCUUUGAUGAUGUUAAUCACUUGGUUGACUAAUUUAAGUUGCUGAAUCACUGUUGGCAGAUUUAAGCAGCAUUUGUUGUAAACUUUGACUGAUUACUGAAUGCAUACGACAUGUUUCGACAAAUAAAGUCUGUUAUAUAAUGAAUAUUAAUCAUUUGUUUGCGUUUAUAACAUCAGCUUUAUUUAUUACAGAAAGAUGCAUUAGGGUCAGAUCAGUGUUUCAGCUCCAUCUUGUGGACAAUAAGUGGAUCUGCAUUAAUACUUGAA